AGAGUUUGAUCCUGGCUCAGAAUGAACGCUGGCGGCGUGCUUUACACAUGCAAGUCGAGCGAGGCGGGGUAGCAAUACCCCAGUCGAGCGGCGAACGGGUGAGUAACGCGUGGGUAACCUGCCUCAAGGUGGGGGAUAACCCGGGGAAACUCGGGCUAAUACCGCAUAACAUCUACGGAUCAAAGGGGGCCGCAAGGCUCCUGCCGUGAGAGGGGCCCGCGUUCGAUUAGCUAGUUGGCAGGGUAACGGCCUACCAAGGCGACGAUCGAUAGCCGGCCUGAGAGGGUGAUCGGCCACACUGGAACUGAGACACGGUCCAGACUCCUACGGGAGGCAGCAGUGGGGAAUUUUGCGCAAUGGGCGAAAGCCUGACGCAGCAACGCCGCGUGGAGGAUGAAGGUCUUUGGAUUGUAAACUCCUGUCGACCGGGAAAAAGCGACUCGACCUAAUACGUCGGGGAGUUGAUUGUACCGGUGGAGGAAGCCCCGGCUAACUCUGUGCCAGCAGCCGCGGUAAUACAGAGGGGGCAAGCGUUAUUCGGAAUUAUUGGGCGUAAAGGGCGCGUAGGUGGCCUGACAAGUGGAAGGUGAAAUCCCUCGGCUCAACUGAGGAACUGCCUUCCAAACUGCUAGGCUUGAGUCCGGGAGAGGUGAGUGGAAUUCCCAGUGUAGCGGUGAAAUGCGUAGAUAUUGGGAGGAACACCAGUGGCGAAGGCGGCUCACUGGACCGGAACUGACGCUGAGGCGCGAAAGCGUGGGGGGCAAACGGGAUUAGAUACCCCGGUAGUCCACGCCGUAACGAUGAGUGCUUGGUGUAGCGGUAUCGACCCUGCUGUGCCGAAGUCAACACAUUAAGCACUCCGCCUGGGGAGUACGGUCGCAAGGCUGAAACUCAAGGGAAUUGACGG
rnacentral:rRNA from 1 species